rnacentral:rRNA from 1 species
GACGAACGCUGGCGGCGUGCCUAAUACAUGCAAGUCGAGCGGACUUACAAAGCUUGCUUUUUAUGUUAGCGGGGGACGGGUGAGAAAAACGUGGGCAACAUGCCUGUAAGACUGUGAUAACUUCGGGAAACCGGAGCUAAUACCGGAUAAUCCUUUUCUACUCACGUAGAAAAGCUGAAAGACGGUCUACGCUGUCACUUACAGUUGGGCCCGCGGCGCAUGAGCUGGUUGGGGAGGUUACGGCUCACCAUGGCGACGAUGCGUAGCCGACCUGUGAGAGGGGUCGGCCGCACGGGGACUGAGACAGGGCCCAUGCUCCUACGGGAGGGAGCAGUAGGGAAUGGUCCGCAAUGGACGGGAGUCUGGCGGAGCAGCGCCGCGUGAGUGAUGAAGGUUUUCGGAUCGUAAAACUCUGUUGUUAGUGAAGAACAAGUACGAGAUGAACUGCUCGUAGCGUGACGGUACCUAACAAGAAAGCCACGGCUAACUACGUG